rnacentral:rRNA from 1 species
AAUAUUGGACAAUGGGCGAAAGCCUGAUCCAGCAAUGCCGCGUGAGUGAUGAAGGCCUUCGGGUCGUAAAGCUCUUUUACCAGGGAUGAUAAUGACAGUACCUGGAGAAUAAGCUCCGGCUAACUCCGUGCCAGCAGCCGCGGUAAUACGGAGGGAGCUAGCGUUGUUCGGAAUUACUGGGCGUAAAGAGUACGUAGGCGGCUAUUCAAGUCAGAGGUGAAAGCCCGGGGCUCAACCCCGGAACUGCCUUUGAAACUAGGUAGCUAGAAUCUUGGAGAGGUCAGUGGAAUUCCGAGUGUAGAGGUGAAAUUCGUAGAUAUUCGGAAGAACACCAGUGGCGAAGGCGACUGACUGGACAAGUAUUGACGCUGAGGUACGAAAGCGUGGGGAGCAAACAGGAUUAGAUACCCUGGUAGUCCACGCCGUAAACGAUGAUAACUAGUUGUUCGGUCACUUGGUC